rnacentral:rRNA from 1 species
UACGGAGGGUGCAAGCGUUAUCCGGAUUCACUGGGUUUAAAGGGUGCGUAGGCGGGCAUUUAAGUCAGUGGUGAAAUACCUGAGCUUAACUUGGAAACUGCCAUUGAUACUAUUUGUCUUGAAUGUCGUGGAGGUUAGCGGAAUAUGUCAUGUAGCGGUGAAAUGCUUAGAUAUGACAUAGAACACCUAUUGCGAAGGCAGCUAACUACGCGAAUAUUGACGCUGAGGCACGAAAGCGUGGGGAUCAAACAGG